rnacentral:lncRNA from 1 species
AUGAAAGGAGAAUUGGGCGCACCUGUUUCUGGAGAUGACGAAGAAGGUUGCAAUGCCGGUGGCUGUUAUUCUCGCUUGACUGCUUUCCUCUCUCUCCCCGUUGUGUCCACUGUCUUCCUUUUUUUCUUUUUCUUUUUAUUUCCCUGUUCUUGAGAUGAAGAAGCUGAGUCGGUAUGUCUGUUUCUUAAGAUGAAACACAGACAAUUGCAGGGAUCUCUCCUUUCUGUAUCUGUUACUCUCUUAUUCUCUCCUUCUCUGUGUAUGUUAUUUUCGGUUUAUGCUCUGUUUUUCUCUGGUUUUUUUACUCUGUCUUGGCUCCCCCCCUCUUCUCCUCUGAUUUUCGGCCCCUUUUAUAGAGACCCAGCUGCUUGCCUCUAACCAUUCCUGCCUUUACAGGACUGUUAUCUUCCCCGACGAGAUCGUGGGCGAGAGACGUGGUCCACGAUCAGAUUUGUUGCAGAUUAUCAGCUCCCCUGCUGAAUCGGGAGCUCCCCUGUUGAAGCGGGAUGGAGAAGACGCACGGCUGUUAGCAACGGUGCCGUUUCGGCAGCAAAUGGGAAUUUUCAAUUUGACCCCUGCCUCUGGAAAUUUAACAAUUUGAUCCCAACAAUCUUUUAAUUUUACCCUUGGAUUAAUUUCAAUUAAGUCCCUGAAUUUAUUUAAUUAAUUAAAUCAAAGUUUAAUUAAGUCCUCGAACUCAUUAAUUUUUCAAUUAAACUCUUGAUUAAAAUAAUCUAAAUUUUAAUUGAAUCAAUUCUCCAAUUUAGCCAUUAAUUUAAUUAAUUAAACUGGUCAAGAGUUUAAUUAAAUCUUUAAACUUCCAAUCAUGUUGCCCUUAACCCAAAUUUUAAUUCAUUCUUCAAUUGUUUCAUUUUUACUUGUUUUUCAUCAAUUUUUUAGAAAAUAAAAUAAUUAAAAUAAAAAUAUCAAAAAUUAGGUUAUGACAGUUGCCCCCUCUUUAUAAUAUUUACUAUGCAAAGAUAUUAAAAAAUUUCAUUUUCUUUUAGCUUUGUGUAGUAAAUUUAUAAAGGAAAGUAGAUACAAAACGAACUUUUUUUUUUUUUAGUCUUGAAAACUUUGAAAACAGUAGAUUGACACAUGACAUUUACAGAGAGAUGUAGAAAUCAAGAAACAAGUCAUUUGGGAGACGACCCUUUUUUUUAUGAAAUGGAUCAAAUUGUUCUGGGCAACCUGCCCGAUGAUAAAAGAAACGCGAAGAAUUUCACGAGUGGUCUAAUUGUUCCAGGCGACCUGCCCGAUGAUUGAAAAAUACGAGGAUUUUUUUUUUGCUGUUUUUUUUUCUGUGAUGGUAUAUUGUAAUGGGUUACCGGCCCAAAUGGUCACAUUGUAAUGGGUUACCUGCCCAGAUGGUCACAUUGUAAUGGGUUACCGGCCCAGUUGGUCACAUUGUAAUGGGUUACCUGCCCAGUGAAAAAAUACGAGGAUUUUUUUUUUAAGACAUGAUAGGGCUCGAAGGCGCAUUAUUCAAUAGAUGGAAGCUCGAAGGAAAUGAGAGCUCGAAGGAAAUGAGGGCUCGAAGGCGCACUCAAAAGGAGGUAGGAUAGGAAAUGCACUACCUUUGAUGGUCGAGGGCUCGAAGGCGCUCUCGAAAUGGAGAUAAGACGAGGGCUCGAAGGCGCGCUCGAAUGGAGAUAAGACGAGGGCUCGAAUGGAGAUAAGACGAGGGCUCGAAGGCGCGCUCGAAUGUAGAUAAGACGAGGGCUCGAAGGCGCGCUCGAAUGGAGGUAGGAUAGGAAAUGCACUACCUUUGAUGGUCGAGGGCUCGAAGGCGCGCUAAAAAAGGAGAUAAGACGAGGGCUCGAAGGCGCGCUCAAAUGGAGAUAAGACGAGGGCUCGAAGGCGCGCUCGAAUGGAGGUAGGAUAGGAAAUGCACUACCUUUGAUGGUCGAGGGCUCGAAGGCGCGCUCGAAAAGAAACAAGACGAGGGCUCGAAGGCGUGCUCGAAUGGGGAUAAGACGAGGGCUCGAAGGCGCGCUCGAAUGGAGGUAGGAUAGGAAAUGCACUACCUUUGAUGGUCGAGAGUUCGAAGGCGCGCUCGAAAAGAAACAAGACGAGGGCUCGAAGGCACGCUCGAAUGGGGAUAAGACGAGGGCUCGAAGGCGCCCUCGAAUGGAGAAUGAAAGGUGGUGGGAAAAUACAAAUAUUUUUCAGGUGGCCUAAUUCUCAUGGGCGGCCUGCCCAGGUUGAAAAAUUCUCAAAAGUGAAAAUUUUUCAAAAGCAAUUUCAAUGUUCGUCAUUUCAAGUUGGCCUUCCGCUUGAUGGAUUCCGUUAGAAUUUUCUCUAAUAAAAUUUGCAAAACUCAUUGUCCAAUGUCUCAAAGUUUAAAUGAUAUGCAUGCAUCUUUACCUGAUUUGAAAUAUAGGCCCCCCAUUUCUUCUUAGUCUUCUCGUUGCUUAGUUGGUGAGAUCUUGCUAUCUGAUUUGAGUCAUCUUUGUCGUUUGGCUUUCUAGCCCACUCGAGUUAGCUCAUAUAAGACUUUUUUCAGAUUUGUUUGCACAACUCAGCCUUUGUGGUACCCAUCGUGACCCACAUGCUUGCUAAAGAUUUUCGGACUCGUCAAAUAAUUUGAGAGGAUCAUUCAUUACCCCUCGUCUCAUCGCUAAAAACAUUCGGUGUCACUAGCUGAAAGGAUCAAACUGUCUUUUGUAAACCAAAAUGCCAACUUGUCUUGUUGUAAGGGAUGAUAGAUUUUCCUUAAACACAAUGUUACUUGUACUGGUCAUUGCCCCCAAAUAUGCUAUGUCACUGACUUAGAUGAAUAAUGGUUUUAAAAGGCCAUUCUCUCAUUUGGUGAAGGAAUAUGGAUCUAGAAUGAAUCUUGAAAUCUUGAUCUUGCCUUUUGACAACAAAAAUUGUUUUGAUAUGAAUUUAAAACAAUUUGCUUUUGAAAUCUUGCAACUCCUUGGUUAUUAUCUUUCUUGGAAAAGAGAUUAUUUGCUCUUGUGUUUGGCAAUGAGGUCUUCGAUGAAAAUACAUCAUGAGAUGACCUUUUGUUUCAAAGUGAAGGGCUUGAGCAAAAGCUUGAGGUUUUGUACGAGAAAAAACUUGUCUCUUUUUGAACACUCAUUUUUAUUAGCAUGAAUAAUAAUGAGUAGUUUAUACUUGAUGUCAUGAAUCUUAUGAAAAAGUAUUCUUUGCAUUUUGAGAUCAUUGUUUAUUGUUCUAGGUUGCUUGCUUGCUUGAUUAGAAAGGACUUCUACAGGCACGUAACGUAGGCUGUAGUUUUUUGCUAUGAAAGAAAAGGAUUCAUAAGGCUCAAAGAGUGUUUCAGGGUUUCAAAGACUGAAGAUCACGAUCAACAGUUUGACUCUUGACGUCAUUCAUAUUUUCUUUGGCCGCUCUUCUUUGAUUUGCCCUUUUUUUUUUCUUUUUCAUUGCUUUGCUAGAGCAUACUCACUUUAUCUUGGUUAUCACUUUUUCUUGUGAUUUGGGCAUGCCCCCUAGCAUUUGAGUUUCUUGGGCUCUUUUGCCUUUUGGCUUUCUCACGGCUUUAUCAUCUUUCUUGAUCAUUGAAAUUUCACUUGCCCCUUACUUUUUUUCUUGUGAUUUGGGCAUGCUCCCUAGCAUUUGAGUUUCUUAGGCUCUUUUGCCUUUUGGCUUUCUCACGGCUUUAUCAUCUUUCUUGAUCAUUGAAAUUUCACUUGCCCCUAGUGUAGGGUGUGAUCUUAGUCGGGAUUUUUUAUGAAAGAAAAAUUAUUCAGACUCAAAAAGGGAUCGCAAGGGAUGUACUUAUUUCAGAACGUGAAAGGAAUAACAAAGAUGGCCUUUCCUCAUUUCAAGCGCAAGCAGCUAUGAUCAAUAAACUUUGACCUCAUCUAGUGUGAUGGUUUAGUCUUUGCAAAGAUGUAUUUCAUGAGUUAUUCAAACACAUGAUUCAAGAGUCGUGGGGUAAGGGUGUUUAUUCAUUUCUUUUUUCUUUUUCUUUUUAGAGUUUGGUCACCUCUAUGAAGGAGUUGCUUGAUUCACUUGUCAUUCUACAAGUAGAAUGUUAAAAAUAUGGUUUUUGAAUAAACAUCAAGUUAUUUUCGGAAUCAAAAUGCAAGAUCAAAAUUUUUUUAAAACUCUAAUAGGGAAACUGAUUUUUGGUAACAGAGAUGAAUUGCGUCUAUGAGAUCGCACAAGGCUUCAAAGAUAUGUUUGUGAGUCUUUAUAAGAAAACUCUCUCAGAAAAAUGAAUAAUGCUAAUCGUAAACACGAUUGAAUGACAAACUCAUUAUUUUCAUUGAAACUUUGGAAAAUAAGUUCAACAAGAAAGAACUUAUGACAACAUCUUAGGCUAUGAAUACUGGCAUGAUAAAAUAUAAAGGGGCUAAACAUUUAGCAAUCAUUAAUUAGAAUUUAUGGAAUAUUUCAAGGGCAUCUUUCUUGACAAGGGCAUCUUUUCAACAGUCAAUUGAAGUCAUAUGUAGAUCAUUCUUGACCUAAUAUCACCAUAGCUUUAUCUUUAAGAUAGUUGAUUUUUGGGAGUUGGUGUGAAGUAAUUAGCUAUAGGAACGAUAAGUGCCUUGGCAACCACCUUCAGUGUCCUUUCCUUUUUCAUUGAAAUCGUUCUUCUCAAUUGGGUUAGCAAUCUUACCUAACCCAAUGGCUUGUUCAAUCCUCUCAGCUAUAACAACCAGGUCAGUGAAAUGUUGUGCAGAGCUUUUAACCAAGUAUUCAAAGUACGGAGCUUUAAAGGUGUUGGAAAAUAAACUAAUCAUCUCUCUUUCCAACAUAGGAGGGUUAACUUGUGCAGCUACCUCACUCCAUCUUCGGGCGUAUUCCCUUAUGGACUCCUCGUUUUCCUUCUCCAUAGCUUGCAAGCUUAACCGGUCAGGACCCACGUCUAUAUUGAACUUAUAUUGCCUCAUGAAGGCAUCAACUAAAUCCUUCCAUUUUUUUACCUUGGUAUUGUCCAACCGCAUAUACCAAAUGAGGGCAGCGUCACUCAAGCUGUCUUGAAAGAAAUGAAUCAGCAGUUUCUCAUCAUCAACCACCUCAGCCAUUUUGUUGCAGUAUGCUUUGAGAUGAGUUAUAGGGCAUUGAGUUCCCAUAUAUUUGAUAAAUUCUGGCACUCUAAACUUUUUAGGAAUGACAACGUUGGGCACCAAACACAUCUCAGCAGCCUUUAUAGGAUCAUAUAGGUGAAGUCCCUCAAAUGCCCUCAUCCUUUGCUCUAGGGCAACCAAUUUGUCCAGACCAUCUUCUUUUACCAUCUUGCCCUUCUGAGAUUCCUUCUUUAUAGAAUCAAUGGUUAAAGGCGUUCUUGUAGGGUAUGCUGGUUGGAAAUGCAUGGCUUAUUGAAAAUCGGAUGACAAACCGUUUGCCCCCAAAUUCUGUGGAUUGAAGGGAUUUAUGGGCAUAGGUUCAGGCUGAGUUAUAUGUGUUACUUUUCCGGAUUUGUCUCUCAAGGCCUGUUCGAGUAGACUAGUAAGCUUUGCGACUUCUUCUCUAAGAUUGUCCACCUCUUUUUGGUGUUGGGCUUCCAACUAGGCUCUUUCUUCGUUUUCCAUUUUUUUUUUCUCGAACGAGUGUUAUAAAUGGGUUUCAAUGGGGGACCUAUAUUUCACCUGGAGUGCGGUAUUAUGACAGGUCAUAAUUGUAUGUUCCAACAUGCAUGAAGAUGAAUACAACAUAUUGGGUAUGGAUUCGCCUUUUGGGGGGUGACAUAACGAUCGUUAUUCUUUAAAUGUGUGGUCAGAUCCGAAUCCGAUAUUCAUUGCAAUGCCGAGAGGAGAUCUGUUUAGUGUUUUGUCAUCUAAUGUCUUUGGGUAGCGGUAUCUCACUGACAUCCAGUCUAGGGCAGUCUCCUCGGUCAUUUGCAAGGAUUCAGACUCGAAUCCAUACUCAACAGUUGUUAUCUUAGGAAUGUCGGUCAUUAUGUCACCCGAAAGCACGUUUAAGCUUAUCUCAAUGAAUUUACGCAGGGAUUAACCUAAAGAAUAGGUUCUAGUCAUUAAAUGCAUCAGGGUAGUUUUGCUAUCUAGUCUCAACGGUCUUUCGCAUGCUCAGUGAUCGCCCUCGAAAGGUUGAUAUGAGGUUUACAAGCAGCGUGAAGAUAGAGGCCCUGAGUAAUAUCAGUUUGGCAUAUCGACCACUAUCGAGCAAACAAUCAUGUGAGAGUUGGAUAGUUUCGCGAGCCUUACCCAGGCUAAAGUCAUUGGGGUGCCGUUACUCCUCCACUUAUCUUAAAGUUGAUACCACACGUAUUUAAAAAUGAGAUAAGUGAUGCGUGAAGACCUUAGAUCCAUAUCCAAUAUCUAUGCAUGAUAAACAUGAAAAAAAAUGCAUGCUAAAACAAUAAAAAGAGAAAAAAUAAAUAAAUAGAUAAAUAAAACCUGAUAAACUCAACAUAGCCACAACAAGGAGAGAAAAAAAAAUAGUACAACAAAUAUAGUUUAGCAAUAAAAAAGACAAAUAGCAAAGCUUAGUCCUAAGGUCCCCAGUGGAGUCGUCAUUCUGUCGCACCCGACAUCGCGGCGGCCUUAAAAAUUAUUAAAUCUUUGGAAAGAACAAAUUCCUGGCAUCCUGUUCUUUGAUGGUGAAUGGUCUUGUUUAAGGAGUCGUCACCUAGUAUUAUGGUCACUAGAAACCCUAACUGGUCAACAGAGAUUCUAUGGUUCGGGACUGGUUACGUAAAAGGGAAGAUAUUAUCACUCCUUAAAUGUCCUGCCUGAGGCAGGCUGCAUUGCUGAUUUUGUCUUAAAUUGCUAAAAAAAUUUGUUGGUUUAUACUAUGAUUGUUUGUGUGGAAUAUUCCUGACUCUGGCGCCAGUGAAUAUUCAACUAUGGAUAUUUCCAACUCUGGCGUUGGUAAAUAUUACGUAGGUAUCAAAAUAAAUAAAUUUAAACCAUCAUUUUUUUUUAUUCCUGACUCUGGCGUCAGUGAAUAAACAAAUAAAAUCAAUUUACUUUUACACAUACGUAUUAUUUUUAUUUUUAUGUAGCUAAAUAAAAACAAAAUAAAAUAAAAUAAAAUAAAUUUACAUUAGUAUUUUUUAUUCCUGACUCUGGCGUCAGUGAAUAUACCAAAUAAAUUUAUUUUAUUUUAUCUUAUGUUAUUUUGUUUGCACGCACAUUUUUUAUUUUUAUAUAACUAAAUAAAAUACAAUGAAAUAAAUUUGAAUCGGUAUUUUUAUUCUGACUCUGUCGUCAAUGAAUAAAAAAACAAUAAAUUCAUAUUUUUAUUUUUAUUUAUUCCCAAUUUUUAUUAUAUAUUUUUUAUUUUUUAUUUAUAUUUUUAGGUUGGGCCCAGAUCAGCCCACAUGGGCUGGGCUAGACCCAGCCCAGCCCGGUCAGUGGCUCAAGCCAGUGACCGGCUGGGCAGAUGAUUGAUGCACGCGUGAAGCAAUUUCACGCGUGCAUCAACAGUGCGAAGGUAAUUAAAUUACCUUCGCACUAUUCAAAUGCAUUACUGAACACAGAUAAUGAAAGGAGAAUUGGGCGCACCUGUUUCUGGAGAUGACGAAGAAGGUUGCAAUGCCGGUGGCUGUUAUUCUCGCUUGACUGCUUUCCUCUCUCUCCCCGUUGUGUCCACUGUCUUCCUUUUUUUCUUCUUUUUUUGAUUUCCCUGUUCUUGAGAUGAAGAAGCUGAGUCGGUAUGUCUGUUUCUUAAGAUGAAACACAGACAAUUGCAGGGAUCUCUCCUUUCUGUAUCUGUUACUCUCUUAUUCUCUCCUUCUCUGUGUAUGUUAUUUUCGGUUUAUGCUCUGUUUUUCUCUGGUUUUUUUACUCUGUCUUGGCUCCCCCCUCUUCUCCUCUGAUUUUCGGCCCCUUUUAUAGAGACCCAGCUGCUUGCCUCUAACCAUUCCUGCCUUUACAGGACUGUUAUCUUCCCCGACGAGAUCGUGGGCGAGAGACGUGGUCCACGAUCAGAUUUGUUGCAGAUUAUCAGCUCCCCUGCUGAAUCGGGAGCUCCCCUGUUGAAGCGGGAUGGAGAAGACGCACGGCUGUUAGCAACGGUGCCGUUUCGGCAGCAAAUGGGAAUUUUCAAUUUGACCCCUGCCUCUGGAAAUUUAACAAUUUGAUCCCAACAAUCUUUUAAUUUUACCCUUGGAUUAAUUUCAAUUAAGUCCCUGAAUUUAUUUAAUUAAUUAAAUCAAAGUUUAAUUAAGUCCUCGAACUCAUUAAUUUUUCAAUUAAACUCUUG